rnacentral:rRNA from 1 species
GACGAACGCUGGCGGCGUGCCUAAUACAUGCAAGUAGAACGCACAGUUUAUACCGUAGCUUGCUACACCAUAAGCUGUGAGUUGCGAACGGGUGAGUAACGCGUAGGUAACCUGCCUGGUAGCGGGGGAUAACUAUUGGAAACGAUAGCUAAUACCGCAUAAUAUUGAUUAUUGCAUGAUAAUUGAUUGAAAGAUGCUAUUGCAUCACUACCAGAUGGACCUGCGUUGUAUUAGCUAGUAGGUGAGGUAACGGCUCACCUAGGCGACGAUACAUAGCCGACCUGAGAGGGUGAUCGGCCACACUGGGACUGAGACACGGCCCAGACUCCUACGGGAGGCAGCAGUAGGGAAUCUUCGGCAAUGGACGAAAGUCUGACCGAGCAACGCCGCGUGAGUGAAGAAGGUUUUCGGAUCGUAAAGCUCUGUUGUAAGAGAAGAACGGGUGUGAGAGUGGAAAGUUCACACUGUGACGGUAUCUUACCAGAAAGGGACGGCUAACUACGUG